CACAGCAAAUUAUCCAGUGUUGAAAUCCUAGUGUUGAGGAAUUUUAGAGUAAAGUGUUAAAGUUGUGGUGUUGAAUUUUUAAGGAUUAACACUAGCUAGUGUAAACAGCCCCCUCUGGCCGGUGUUAAUACGCAGAGUUACCUUUAUUAACACUGUUGAGUGUUAAUAGUCACAUCCGGGACAUUUGCUCGUGUGCGCGCCUGACCCAUCUGAAAUAUUUUUUCACAGACGCCAUUUUCUUUGCUCGCGAUGCGGCUCAUAUGAGAAUGGAAUUCGGCGAAAUAAAUUGUAUAAUCUUACUCAUAAGAUGUGUUUUGUAAUAUCAUAUUGUUUUAUAACGACAUUUAUUUGCUGUGUGCACAUAAACGUUUCUCAAGGACAUUUCCUUUCACUCACGAUGCGGAACAGAUGAGGACGUCAUUUACUCCAAAACUUUUUUCUCAAGAGAGAUAUUUCCUUCCACUCACGAUAGGGAGAAUACGGGGAAUCUGUUAAUUAUCAAAGGAAAACACCAUAAGUAAGUGUUUUACCUUGUUUACAUGUAUUUUAUAAGAUGAUUUUACUUUAUGACGAUAUUUAAAUGCUGCGCGUGCCUAAACGAGCCUAACUGUCUCUCACAGAUUUGAAUUGCUAUGCAGUGCAGACCAUGGCGCAGAGGCGGGUUACUUAGAGAAGGGAGAGACCAGAAAGAGAUAUUUUCUUUCACUCGCGAAGCGGAGCAGACGAGGAAGUUGGUUUUAACAAGGAAAACACCGAAAACAGAGCCCUGCCUCAGCGCAAUGAGAUCAGCAUGGAAUUCAGGAAUUAGGACCUAUUUUCCAAAGCACUUUUGUGAUGCUGCAAGUGGGAGUGGAUUUCUUGCUUAGCUGGAAACUGCAGAGAACCACGUCUUGUCGUCCUGAAAAAAAGAAAGAGACUGCUUUCUCCAAGGAGGUCCAAACGCCAUUGGCACAGACUUUGUUCAGUAAUCAGUAAACUACAUUCAGCCAGGGCCGUCCUUAGAGGGGUGCAACUGGUGCGGUCGCACCAGGCCCCACACUUGAGGGCUAAACGGACUGAAUGAGCCCUCCGUCCGCCAACCUGGGAACACUCCCUACUUCGCACCGGGCCCCGAAUCAGCUAAGUACGGCCCUGCAUUCAUGGUUGAUGGUAAUGAAUGAGAUGCUGUGGUUUAAGCAGAUAAAUGUUAGCACUAUAAUCCUGAUUAAAUUGAGAGUAUAUAUGGACCAAAUACGUUUUUUGUGCCUUUGCACUGAUUUGCUUUGACAUUGUUUUAAUUGUUGUAAAGAAUGUUCUUUAUAUGUAUUGAAAACACUGAAUGUGAAGACAUUUUGGUGCAGGGAAAAAGUUUCAAUUAAAAUAAAUAAAUGUGUAAACAUGCAUUGUUUUGUGGAUUAAUUUAUCUAUUUCUCUCUCUCUCUCUCUCUCUCU
ensembl:lncRNA